CGCGUAGGCGGAUAGUUUAGUCAGAGGUGAAAGCCCAGGGCUCAACCUUGGAAUUGCCUUUGAUACUGGCUAUCUUGAGUUCGGGAGAGGUGAGUGGAAUGCCGAGUGUAGAGGUGAAAUUCGUAGAUAUUCGGCGGAACACCAGUGGCGAAGGCGACUCACUGGCCCGAUACUGACGCUGAGGCGCGAAAGCGUGGGGAGCAAACA
rnacentral:rRNA from 1 species